ACUAUCAUUAACUGAAUCCAUAGGUUAAUGAGGCGAACCGGGGGAACUGAAACAUCUAAGUACCCCGAGGAAAAGAAAUCAACCGAGAUUCCCCCAGUAGCGGCGAGCGAACGGGGAGGAGCCCAGAGCCUGAAUCAGCAUGUGUGUUAGUGGAAGCGUCUGGAAAGGCGCGCGAUACAGGGUGACAGCCCCGUACACAAAAGCGCAUGUGCUGUGAGCUCGAUGAGUAGGGCGGGACACGUGGUAUCCUGUCUGAAUAUGGGGGGACCAUCCUCCAAGGCUAAAUACUCCUGACUGACCGAUAGUGAACCAGUACCGUGAGGGAAAGGCGAAAAGAACCCCGGCGAGGGGAGUGAAAAAGAACCUGAAACCGUGUACGUACAAGCAGUGGGAGCACAGGUUUACCUGUGUGACUGCGUACCUUUUGUAUAAUGGGUCAGCGACUUAUAUUCUGUAGCAAGGUUAACCGAAUAGGGGAGCCGGAGGGAAACCGAGUCUUAAUUGGGCGUUAAGUUGCAGGGUAUAGACCCGAAACCCGGUGAUCUAGCCAUGGGCAGGUUGAAGGUUGGGUAACACUAACUGGAGGACCGAACCGACUAAUGUUGAAAAAUUAGCGGAUGACCUGUGGCUGGGGGUGAAAGGCCAAUCAAACCGGGAGAUAGCUGGUUCUCCCCGAAAGCUAUUUAGGUAGCGCCUCGUGAAUUCAUCUCCGGGGGUAGAGCACUGUUUCGGCUAGGGGGCCAUCCCGGCUUACCAACCCGAUGCAAACUGCGAAUACCGGAGAAUGUUAUCACGGGAGACACACGGCGGGUGCUAACGUCCGUCGUGAAGAGGGAAACAACCCAGACCGCCAGCUAAGGUCCCAAAGUCAUGGUUAAGUGGGAAACGAUGUGGGAAGGCCCAGACAGCCAGGAUGUUGGCUUAGAAGCAGCCAUCAUUUAAAGAAAGCGUAAUAGCUCACUGGUCGAGUCGGCCUGCGCGGAAGAUGUAACGGGGCUAAACCAUGCACCGAAGCUGCGGCAGCGACACUGUGUGUUGUUGGGUAGGGGAGCGUUCUGUAAGCCUGUGAAGGUGUGUCGUGAGGCAUGCUGGAGGUAUCAGAAGUGCGAAUGCUGACAUAAGUAACGAUAAAGCGGGUGAAAAGCCCGCUCGCCGGAAGACCAAGGGUUCCUGUCCAACGUUAAUCGGGGCAGGGUGAGUCGACCCCUAAGGCGAGGCCGAAAGGCGUAGUCGAUGGGAAACGGGUUAAUAUUCCCGUACUUGGUGUUACUGCGAAGGGGGGACGGAGAAGGCUAUGUUGGCCGGGCGACGGUUGUCCCGGUUUAAGCGUGUAGGUGUGUGUUCCAGGUAAAUCCGGUUCACUUUAACACUGAGGCGUGACGACGAGGCACUACGGUGCUGAAGCAACAAAUGCCCUGCUUCCAGGAAAAGCCUCUAAGCAUCAGGUAACAUCAAAUCGUACCCCAAACCGACACAGGUGGUCAGGUAGAGAAUACCAAGGCGCUUGAGAGAACUCGGGUGAAGGAACUAGGCAAAAUGGUGCCGUAACUUCGGGAGAAGGCACGCUGACACGUAGGUGAAGUGAUUUACUCAUGGAGCUGAAGUCAGUCGAAGAUACCAGCUGGCUGCAACUGUUUAUUAAAAACACAGCACUGUGCAAACACGAAAGUGGACGUAUACGGUGUGACGCCUGCCCGGUGCCGGAAGGUUAAUUGAUGGGGUCAGCGCAAGCGAAGCUCCUGAUCGAAGCCCCGGUAAACGGCGGCCGUAACUAUAACGGUCCUAAGGUAGCGAAAUUCCUUGUCGGGUAAGUUCCGACCUGCACGAAUGGCGUAAUGAUGGCCAGGCUGUCUCCACCCGAGACUCAGUGAAAUUGAACUCGCUGUGAAGAUGCAGUGUACCCGCGGCAAGACGGAAAGACCCCGUGAACCUUUACUAUAGCUUGACACUGAACAUUGAGCCUUGAUGUGUAGGAUAGGUGGGAGGCUUUGAAGUGUGGACGCCAGUCUGCAUGGAGCCGACCUUGAAAUACCACCCUUUAAUGUUUGAUGUUCUAACGUGGACCCGUUACCCGGGUUGCGGACAGUGUCUGGUGGGUAGUUUGACUGGGGCGGUCUCCUCCUAAAGAGUAACGGAGGAGCACGAAGGUUGGCUAAUCCUGGUCGGACAUCAGGAGGUUAGUGCAAUGGCAUAAGCCAGCUUGACUGCGAGCGUGACGGCGCGAGCAGGUGCGAAAGCAGGUCAUAGUGAUCCGGUGGUUCUGAAUGGAAGGGCCAUCGCUCAACGGAUAAAAGGUACUCCGGGGAUAACAGGCUGAUACCGCCCAAGAGUUCAUAUCGACGGCGGUGUUUGGCACCUCGAUGUCGGCUCAUCACAUCCUGGGGCUGAAGUAGGUCCCAAGGGUAUGGCUGUUCGCCAUUUAAAGUGGUACGCGAGCUGGGUUUAGAACGUCGUGAGACAGUUCGGUCCCUAUCUGCCGUGGGCGCUGGAGAACUGAGGGGGGCUGCUCCUAGUACGAGAGGACCGGAGUGGACGCAUCACUGGUGUUCGGGUUGUCAUGCCAAUGGCACUGCCCGGUAGCUAAAUGCGGAAGAGAUAAGUGCUGAAAGCAUCUAAGCACGAAACUUGCCCCGAG
rnacentral:rRNA from 1 species